UACAGAGGGUGCAAGCGUUAAUCGGAAUGACUGGGCGUAAAGGGUGCGUAGGUGGUUGCUUAAGUGAGAUGUGAAAUCCCCGGGCUUAACCUGGGAAUGGCAUUUGAUACUGAGCGACUAGAGUAUGGGAGAGGUAAGUGGAAUUUCCGGUGUAGCGGUGAAAUGCGUAGAUAUCGGAAGGAACACCAGUGGCGAAGGCGGCUUACUGGCCUAAUACUGACACUAAGGCACGAAAGCGUGGGGAGCAAACAGG
rnacentral:rRNA from 1 species